AUGAGCAGAGCACUGAACGGGGUUGAGCUCCCAAUCACCGGACCGGGUGAUAGAUGCCCACAGAGAGAGAUCGCCGGGCCGGGUGAUAAAUGCGCACAGAGAGAGAUCGCCGGGCCGGGUGAUAGAUGCCCACAGAGAGAGAUCGCCAGACCAGGUGAUAAAUGCCCACAGAGAUUGCCUGGCCAGGUGAUAAAUGCGCACAGAGAUCGUUGGACCAAUCUUUGCUGAGCUUCAGCUUUAACCUGCUGAAUGCUCACUUCCUGGUCUCCUUGGCACGAACCUUCCACAACAGGUCUUCCAGCUUGCUGGAUUCCUCAAAGUGAAUCCUGAGGCCCUCAUCCUCUGCUGUGCUGAUAUCUCUGUGGAACAAGGAUAUGUCAGAGCCCCCAGGUUUCUCUGAGGUUCUCGUCCUCUGCUGUGCUGAUAUCUCUGUAGAACAAGGAUAUGUCAGAGCCCCCAGGUUUCUCUGCGGUCCUCGUCCUCUGCUGUGCUGAUAUCUCUGUGGAACAAGGACAUGUCAGAGCCCCCAGGUUUAUCUGCGGUCCUCGUCCUCUGCUGUGCUGAUAUCUCUGUAGAACAAGGAUAUGUCAGGGUCCCCAGGUUUAUCUGAGGUCCUCGUCCUCUGCUGUGCUGAUAUCUCCGUGGAACAAGGAUGUGUCAGGGUCCCCAGGUUUCUCUGAGGUCCUCGUCCCCUGCUGUGCUGAUAUCUCUGUAGAACAAGGAUAUGUCAGGGUCCCUAGGUUUCUCUGAGGUCCUCGUCCUCUGCUGUGCUGAUAUCUCUGUAGAACAAGGAUGUGUCAGAGCCCCCAGGUUUCUCUGAGGUCCUCGUCCCCUGCUGUGCUGAUAUCCCUGUAGAACAAGGAUGUGUCGGAGCCCCCAGGUUUCCUCAGGUGCAUCUAGUCAAGGAAGAUGCCUGUCUCUCGGAGAUCACCAGCUGUGGUCCUGGCCCGGCUGGCUUUGGCACUGUCAUUGCCAUGGGGUUGUCUUCAUUGGUGAACAGCAUGAUCCUCUUAUGACUCAUCUUGAACUGGACACCACUCAAGAGGCUGCCACAGACCCACAGCACUUCACUGGGUGAGCAGCCAGAUCCGUGGCCCAUCAGCUCAUGGAAACGUUUUUGUCCCUGCUGCCCCUUAAACUGGUCAAGCUCUAGAAUUCGUUUUGCCUCGGAAUUAUCCAACUCCUGCAAGACAUAAAUAUUUUUAAAAUUCACAGGAUUUUUGUCUUCCCCGGUACCACAGAACACGACUGCUGAGAGAUCUCGAUUGCUGCUUAUGAUCUUACUGAUGUACACACUUUGGAUACGCUGGAUGCUCUUGUCAAAAGGAGUCCACUCAUCUUCACUCUGAGAUUCAAACACAGCCCUGGAGCCAUCACCAAAAAGCGCGCACGAUCUCUUCCUGAAUAUUCAUGGUCUCCACUUGCUUCAAGUUCUCUCCUUGUUCUUCCACCUCUUCAUCGCGCUCGGUUUGUGAUCCGACCCCCACUCUGACAUGUUGGCUACCACUCACUUUGGCGCAGGGAAGCGGUCAACUUGGACGGAAGAUGAGGAUGCCGUAAAGUCUUUAAGAUGUGUUCAUUUUUAUACCUGAAUAUGAGUUAAGGUUUUACCAGUCUUUGAAAAUCACCCCUUCACAGAAUAUUGGGGCCCCGGUUUCAAUUGUCAUAAUAAAAGCUACUGUGAACAGGAUGCUGAGUGAUGG
rnacentral:lncRNA from 13 species